AACGCGAAGAACCUUACCUGGCCUUGACAUGCAUAUAGUAGAAGGGUGAAAGCCUGACGAGGUAGCAAUACCAGUAUGCACAGGUGCUGCAUGGCUGUCGUCAGCUCGUGUCGUGAGAUGUUGGGUUAAGUCCCGCAACGAGCGCAACCCUUGUCCUGUGUUACCAUGCCGAAAGGCGGCACUCGCAGGAGACCGCCAGCGAUAAGCUGGAGGAAGGUGGGGAUGACGUCAAGUCCUCAUGGCCUUUAUGUCCAGGGCUACACACGUGCUACAAUGGGCGGUACAAAGCGCUGCUAAACCGCAAGGUGGAGCCAAUCGCAAAAAGCCGCUCUCAGUUCGGAUUGCAGGCUGCAACUCGCCUGCAUGAAGCUGGAAUCGCUAGUAAUGCUAUAUCAGAACGAUAGCGUGAAUACGUUCCCGGGCCUUGUACACACCGCGCAUA
rnacentral:rRNA from 1 species